rnacentral:rRNA from 1 species
CCUACGGGAGGCAGCAGUGGGGAAUAUUGCACAAUGGGGGAAACACUGAUGCAGCGACGCCGCGUGAGUGAAGAAGGAAUUCGUUAUGUUAAGCCCUAUCAGCAGGGAAGAAAAUGACGGUACCUGUGUCAGAAGCCCCGGCUAACUACGUGCCAGCAGCCGCGGUAAUACGUAGGGGGCAAGCGUUAUCCGGAUUUACUGGGUGUAAAGGGAGCGUAGACGGCAGUGCAAGUCUGGAGUGAAAGGCGGGGGCUCAACCCCCGGACUGCUCUGGAAACUGUACGUCUGGAGUGCAGGAGAGGUAAGUGGAAUUCCUAGUGUAGCGGGGAAAUGCGUAGAUAUUAGGAGGAACACCAGUGGCGAAGGCGGCUUACUGGACUGUAACUGACGUUGAGGCUCGAAAGCGUGGGGAGCAAACAGGAUUAGAUACCCGGGUAGUC